UACGGGAGGCAGCAGUGGGGAAUAUUGGACAAUGGGCGAAAGCCUGAUCCAGCCAUGCCGCAUGAGUGAAGAAGGCCUUCGGGUUGUAAAGCUCUUUUAGUGAGAAAGAUAAUGACGGUACUCACAGAAGAAGUCCUGGCUAACUCCGUGCCAGCAGCCGCGGUAAUACGGAGAGGGCUAGCGUUAUUCAGAAUUACUGGGCGUAAAGAGCACGUAGGUGGUUUUUUUAAGUCAGAUGUGAAAUCCCUGGGCUUAACCUAGGAACUGCAUUUUGAAACUGAAAUACUAGAGUAUCGUAGAGGGAGGUAGAAUUCUAGGUGUAGCGGUGAAAUGCGUAGAUAUCUGGAGGAAUACCUGUGGCGAAAGCGGCCUCCUAAACGAAUACUGACACUGAGGUGCGAAAGCGUGGGGAGCAAACAGGGAUUAGAUACC
rnacentral:rRNA from 1 species